rnacentral:lncRNA from 1 species
UAAUGAAUGGCCUGAGAGUGGAGAUAUAUCAUGGAGGCGAAUUUCAAACUAAACAAGGAAUAUAUUACUACAAAGGAGGUACAGUCGAUACCCUUUAUGAUGUUAAUUUGACUGUACUUACAAUUAGUUCUUGUCUUGAAUAUUUACGAGAAGCUGGUUAUGGUGAUGGGUUGAAGCUGUACUAUAAGAAACAAUCAGGUCGUAGUAGAGAUGAUUAUAAGUUAAUUUGGAAUGAUG